AAGUCGAACGGCAGCAGAGGAGAGCUUGCUCUCUGGGUGGCGAGUGGCGGACGGGUGAGGAAUACAUCGGAAUCUACCUUUUCGUGGGGGAUAACGUAGGGUAACUUACGCUAAUACCGCAUACGACCUACGGGUGAAAGUGGGGGAGCGCAAGGCCUCACGCGAAUAGAUGAGCCGAUGACCGAUUAGCUAGUUGGCGGGGUAAUGGCCCACCAAGGCGACGAUCGGUUGCUGGUCUGAGAGGAUGAUCAGCCACACUGGAACUGAGACACGGUCCAGACUCCUACGGGAGGCAGCAGUGGGCCGUAUUGGACAAUGGGCGCAAGGCUGAUCCAGCCAUACCGCGUGGGUGAAGAAGGCCUUCGGGUUGUAAAGCCCUUUUGUUGGGAAAGAAAUCCUAUCGGUUAAUAACCGGUGGGGAUGACGGUACCCAAAGAAUAAGCACCGGCUAUAUUCGUGCCAGCAGCCGCGGUAAUACGAAGGGUGCAAGCGUAACUCGGAAUUACAGGAUAUUGGAGAAUGGGGGGUAGCCUGAUCCA
rnacentral:rRNA from 1 species